rnacentral:misc_RNA from 1 species
GUAGGUGAACCUGCGGAAGGAUCAUUACCGAGUUCAUGCCCUCCGGGGUAGGUCUCCCACCCUGUUUAUCGUACCCAUGUUGCUUUGGCGGGCCGAUCGCGUCGGCCACCGGCGAUCCGCUGGUGUGCGCCCGCCAGAGGCCCCAAACCCUGACCUUGACCGUGCCGUCCGAGUACUAUGGAAUAGUUAAAACUUUCAACAACGGAUCUCUUGGUUCUGGCAUCGAUGAAGAACGCAGCAUCUGACUGAC